GUCCGGUUCCAGCGCAGCUGCGCCGCCGCCUCCGACGGGCUCUCGAGGGCCGAGAAGACGGUGGCGCCGGCGCUCAGGGAAGUCCUGCCUAUGAAGGGAUCAGGCCAGAGGGAUGCCAGUCAGCUUGAAGAAUCACGUAAUAGAUAUGAAAUGUCCCGGUAACUUUCCAUGAAGAAAAGAAGCUCAGCUUAAGCAGCGGAGAACAUGGUUUAGCUACUUCAGCACUGACAAAAUAUUCCAAGCAUCACUGAAUCAUGGUUUCUAAGAAUUAGAGCUGUUUGACAGCUUUUCAAAAUAUUUUGACAACUCUUUUUGCUAAAGUUUAUAACUUAAAGUCUUGGAAUUUGUCACCGUUUUGCAAAAAUAGUCCAUUUUCUCAUUGGUUAUUGAGGUGGGGGGAAGAUUACAUAAUGGAAAUGUCCUUUUUUUUUUUUUAUUCUUUAAAAUCUUCCUUAAAAUGUAUGAUCCUUUUCCAAGUAACUAACUCCUGGAAGAAAUCCAUUUGCUUGAUACAAAUCCUGCACAACUGCAGGACUUGAGCCACAGUUUUAUUACUCUAAUACAGGUACCACAGUUUGAGGGAAGGUCCUGGAGCUGUGUGGCGGACAGAUGAAUGAAUUUUUUUUGCCUUAAACAUUUCUUGGUGCAUGGGGUGCAGGCAGGCCACAACCCCGAACAAGCCAUCUGUCCCUGGCGGAAACAGGACUGGGCUGCUGCGACCCCCGAGAUGGUCUCCCUGCGACCACCCAGGACACACCGAGCCUGCACUGAACAAGACCACAGUCGGGCAGAGACUUUGGGAUCUGGACUGUAAAUUAUUGUCCGUUUUUAGCACAACUUCUAUAAAACUUGCUUGGCAUGAGUGGCUAAAUUUGCUGAAGCCUUAGGCUGCACUCCCUAGUUCAGUGAGAAAGGGCCCAGAGCUGCUGCAGGCGGGAAUGAUAAGGGAGUUACCAGCAAUUUGCAUUCCUGUGCACUGCUGAAACAGUGCUAAUUGCUGGAGUUACCACCUCUUUGUCAGACCUUGAGAGAUAAUGGCUGGACCCAAGAACGGAGACACACCUGUCAGCAGAAACAGCAACAGUAAACGGCCUACCUAGGGACAGUGAUGAGACCCAAUAAGGAGCAGGAGACCCCAGACCCAAAUAUUACUAUUGGUCUGAACUAUCACGUGAGGGGUGGGAAACUUAAUUUGAAAAAGCUAUAAUUGCCGAGGGAUUUCUUUGUUUCCCUCUCUCUCGUCCCUCGUCCCUUGUCCCUCGUCGGAGGCACCCAGCUUGAGCUGUGAUUCGAACGGAGUCAGCGGAACAUCAUCGGCCUCGGAGUGGUGGUAGCUAGCUUCCUCUCUCCUUUUCCAACUUUCUCCAUCUUUUCCCCUUAUUCUCGCUUCCUUUUUCACUUCUCCUCCCCUUCGCCUUCCCCCCCCCCCCACCUUUUCUCCCCACUUCGUGGAAAAUAAAGGUAAAAGGUUGUACGAUAUUUGACCGGUUUUAGCAUCUUAAUCUCGUCCUUGGGAUCGUAACGAAACCCUCCCGAUAUUGGAUCGGGACAAGCUGCUGGUGGGUUCUUACAUAAGGAAAACUCCUAAAGGCAGUCGUCUGGUUAAAAUAAUGAUGUUUUUACAAAUUUACGUGAUAAAUUGAAUAAAAUUGCCAGGCAUUUGGCCAAAAUAUUACCUUAUUUAUAAUCAUUUGCCUAAGAAAUUUUUAAAAGCUGAUGGUCAACUCUGCUUUGUUGGACAAUAAAUGUUGAUGUUUACUGCA